rnacentral:tRNA from 1 species
GGUUGUGGCUUAGUGGUAGAGCGCUCUCCCAGCAUGGGUGAGGCCUUGGGUUUGAUUCUCAGCACCA